rnacentral:lncRNA from 1 species
AAUAAAAAAAAAAACAUAUAUAUAUAUAUAUAUAUAUAUAUAUAUAUAGAGUCCGGCUGGAUUACUAUCAAUAGUAUUAAGGAUUUGGUGCUAUCGAGUUUUCUAUCGUCAGAUUUAACUCUUUGAUUAUUUUUAUCCAUUGGAUUAUACUAUUCAACCAACAACUUACUCAACUCUAAGGACUCCACAUCAUCCUAACCGUACAUUUCUUCAUCCAAGAGCCAAAAACUUAAUAGCACCAAGUCCUUGGUGCUAUUGAUAGCAUUCCAGUCUAGUUAUAUAUAUAUAGUCCAGCUAUGGUACCAAGCACUUGGUGCUAGUAAGUUUUUUACCGUUAGAUCUAUUUCUCGGAUCAUUUUCAACCAUUAGAUUAUACUAUUCAACCAACCACCCACUCAAUCCUAGGGAGCCCACAUCAUCCUAACCGUAUAUUUCUUAAUCCAAUGGCUAAAAAUCUACAAGCACCAAUAACUUGGUACUUUUAAAAAUAUAGGAGCUCAAUUAUAUAUAUAUAUAUAUAUAGCUAGGCUGGUAUACUAUCGAUAGCACAGAGGCCUUCGUGCUACCAAGUUGUUUUCAAUGAUGCGGCUUCCAAAUCGACGAUCGGCUCCGUUAGACUUGAUCUACACUAUUAAAAGUAUUUGAAAAUUAAAUUUUAUAAUUUUUUCACAUCAUUUGGCUAGUGAUCAAAAGGUCUCAAAAUUGACAAUUUUAAUGGUAGAUUUGAUGUGUUUGUGAAUUUAACGGUGUAAAACAAUCCAAAUUGGAUGAAAUUUUAAUAGAAAAUUCUUUUCACUAUUUAGAGUAAGAUCAGUACCUCUGAUUUUAAAUUCAAGUCCUUUAUCAUCAUUUUUUAUGAAAUUUUUAUUUUCAGCCGUUCAUUUUUAGACUACUUGUUUGAUAGGUAAAUGAUGCCGAAAAAUUAUGAAAUUUAAUUUUCAAAUACUUUCAAUAAUAUAGAUCAAGUCUAAGGGAGCCGAUCGUCGAUUUGGAAGCCGCAUCAUUGAAAACAAUUUGGUAGCACGGAGGCCUCCGUGCUACCGAUAAUAUACCAGCCUAGCUCUCUCUAUAUAUAUAUAUACACCCACACGUAGUGAUCGAAGUAC